UCUGCUGCCUUUGUAGACUUGAUAGAUAACUAAUGCCAUUUAGUCCACUGUGUAGUCAGACCGACUUCCCAUGUUCCCCUCCCAGUCCUCUUUUCAUCUUCACUCUAUUUCAGACUUUCCCCACCAGUGGUCUUAGAGAAUGACUUUUUUUUUUUUUUUUUUUUUACAGAGAUCACUGAAGCCAGAAAUCCUCAGUUCCCACAGUCCCUGACCUCCUGACGCUCCCCUUCCCACCAUUUACACUGAUGUUUCCCUUCCUUCUCUUCCAGGACAGUGGAAGAGAUGCUCUUCCUUCAGUCAAGGGCAUCUCCUGUAAAAUACCCUUUUGUUCUUGUGUGUUUUCAAACAUUCUCUCCUGGUUCCUUCAGAUCUCUGCCAACUUGAGCUCUAUAUCCCAUGCCCCUCUCCCGCUGCUACCCUCUCUCUACCCAGCUUCCAGCUCCCCUGUCCCCCAAAGCCAAACUUCCUUAAGUGCCACCAUCAUUUUUUUCUCACCAUUUUCUUAUUCUUUACCUCACUGUGUGUGACUUUUUCCCAACUAUAAUGGGGUUGAAAUGACUUUAACCAAGGUCACGAUGCCAAGUCAUUGUUUACUAUUUUUGACUUCUUGACUUUUACCCUGUUGACACUUGGUCCCCUCUGAAGCUGUCUCUUCUAUGGCAUUAAACUUUUGAAGUUUCCUUUGCCUCUCUGAAUGCUUCCUUGACAAUAUCUCUGUCUGUCCUUAUUCAAGACUGUUCCUCAGAGCCAUUCAGUCCCUGCUGCCUCCUUUAGCAUAAAAGAGUAGGUUUUAUUCAAGUGAGAAGAAAAGAGAUGGAGCUCCCACAAGAUGAGAAGGGAUCCAAAAGGGGUUGCCCCCUCAGUUUCUCCUUGCUGUAUACUCUCUUCCCAGGUGGUCUCACUCCCUCUUAUGGCUUCAAUUAUCAACAACUCUUGGGGUUUUUGUUUGUUUGUUUGUUUGUUUUUGCAGUAUUGGGGAUUGAACCUAGAGCCUCAUACAUGAUAGGUAAGUGCUCUACUACUGAGCUACAGCCCCAGCCCAGCUCUUGAAUCUUUUGUGUUGAUCUCUUCUCUGAGCUUCAGGCUCAUAUUACCACUGUCUCAAGUGGAUGUCAUAAAAUCAGUUUGUCAAAAAUACAGCUCAUUGUUUUCCUUUAAAAUGCAUUUGCUUUUUUAAGGUUUACCUCUAGCAUUUUCAGGGCCAUGGGCAGGAGCACAAGUGGAAGCCUACAUAUCACAUUUGGAGUAGUUGAAAGCACUCAAGCUAAAUAAAUUAUGUUAUGGUUUCUUACUCAGACACAUAAACUUUUCUAACAACCCAGAAGGUCAUAUUUGAAUUUAGAAUUCUUGUGCUUUCUGGAGUGCUGGGCCAGGAUGUGGUAGCUUAGGGAAAGCUGACUCCCUGACCCCAACCCUCAUUCUGCACUUCUCUUCCCUUCUGGGUUUGGCCCUACAGUACAAAGGGCCAUAUGCUUUUGAACACCCAAAGUCCCUGUGUCCAAGCUCUGCUCAUACCUCCCAAGCUGCAUUUCCUUCUCUGUUACUCUUGAAUGGGGUUGAAUCAGAAUCCUGAACCAGAGCACAAGGGAGAAGAAGGGUUGACCCAGAAAGAGGAAUUGAAGAUUGAGUUCAUGAAAGCGAAUCAAGAAAAAGAUUCAUGACCCCAUGAAAAAGGUUCAUCAUGGGAAUGGGUUUGGGAACCAGGCAGGGUAAGGAAGUGGCUAGAGGAAGAUGCCCUGAGGCAAUUAUAAGGAUCUGUCUUGGCUGGAUCUAGGGAUGGCAAGUUCUGCAUUCUCAGCAAGUGACAGCAUACAUUAUCGAGUCAUCUUAGCUGGGAAAGCAACAAACUCUGGAUGCUCUCUUUAUCCUCCCUCAAAUCCAAGCAGUUAGGUUUUCUGUUUUCUUAAUAACUUGAAUGGAUUUCUCUUCAUCUUGAAGUUCAUGCUAUCAUCUCCCACCUAAGUGAUUGCAACAGCCCGAGUCUAACCUGUCUCCUUGCCUUGGUCUUGUUUCCCUAGAAUCCAUUUCUCCAUAGCAACUGGAAUGAUCUUUCUGAGUACAAAUGUGAUUACUCCAUUAGAAAGCACAAGUUUCUGCUUAUUGCCUUUAGGAGAAAGUCCGAGCUCUUUAGCAUGUCAUUCACAGUAUUUGGUGAUCUGACCCCUGCUCACCUCUCUAACUGCAUUGUUCAGCUCUUCCUGGUUCCUAACACAUAUAAAAUACCAUGCACAUACUCCCCAAAAUGAACAGCCAUAUAAAUUCACAUAAACAAUACACAUUCACACUAUCAGAGAUGAGGCAUAUAUGAACUUGAACGCCCACACCACAUACAUUCCCACACUGUAAUACAGUAGCUCACAAAUAUACACGCUUAUAACCCUGUGCGUGUAUGCAUUCACAACAUACUCUGAAAGCUCACACACCACAUUCUGUCACGUUCUCCUGCAUAUUUUCCACACACAUUCAUACACACUCACAUAUUCACACCCUGUACACCUCAGUCACUCAUACACCCACACCACAAAACUUAAGUACCACAUACUCUCAGACCAUGCAUGCUUACACGGUCGGACCUUUAACCAUACUCAUCUAGUUCUUAUUCCUGCAACCUCUAGCACCAGGCCUUUUUUCAAGCUGGUCUUUCUUCUGGAAUGCUUCUUUCUGGGUUGCUUUCCUGCAGAAAGCCUUUCCUGAACCCGAAGCUUGGAAGAUCUGAAGGAUUCCCUUUAGAAUCAAACCUAAGGCUUACUUGUUUAGUCUGGAAGUAAGAAACUAGAGUUUAGCUUCUUAAACUGAGGUUUCUUAAAUGUACUUCUCCCAAGCAUAUAAUUUUUGUCACCCUGUCUGUUGUCUCAUAGUCCUUAAUGGUACAAAAUUUAAAACAGGAGGGGUCUGGGUAGGGUGGUCCCUAUAGAAAUGAAAUUCCAGCUGGAUGGCAGGGAACCCAGUGGUAGGAGGAAGGGGAGUAAGACUGCAGGGAAGUGACCGCAGACCUGCAGGGCUUUUGUGUCUUGAUGCACUUGCCCAGCUUUUCAGAAGUGUGUCUAGUUUGGAGUGAGUCAAGUUCUAGGGAUUUGUUUAGCCUGCAGGAUCCUCCGAGGGGAUCUUUACUUCCAGUGGAGUGUUGAAGCUGUGCAGUGGGUAGGCUGGCAGCGUCUGAAGUACAGGGAUUGAGGUGAAUCAGGGCGGGGGUUGAAUGACCCAGCUUGGGAACUCAGGAAGAGGGCCUCAGAGGAGGGUUAUUAGUCUCAAAUGUCAUGCAGAGGUGGAGAAGGAUGUGGCACCUAGGAGGCCACCCACAGCCUUUCUAGAACAGCAGCAUUUGGAGUCUGUUGCCAAAUUGUACAGGCUUAAAUAGGCAGAGAACAGAAAUCAAAGUCCUCCUCUCAGGGAAGGAGGAAGAGUUCAUGUCUGCUGAUGAACAGAGGAGAGUGCCAGGUAGGGAGGGCAAGGUACAGUCCCAGGACAGAGCAAAGGUCACUGCACGGGUGAGUGGGCUCUGAGUGCAUGUGGAAAUUCUACAUUGGACAGGAAGGAACACAGCUUCCUCCAGGACAGGAAGGAUAUUGUAGGGAGGGAAGUGAAUGUAACAACCACCAGUGUUUUAUCAUCUGCUUCCACCUUGGUAACCUCUAGCAACACAGGCUGUUAGCCACAGACUCCUAUGGCCACCCCCCAUCACCACCACCAAAUUCUCCCUCUGGUAUCUUCAGUGCUAAGCAUUUUUUGCUCAUAGCUUUCCAUUCUUUGAGCUCUCCCUCCUCCAUGUCACCACACUCAGUUCUGUGGCCUCUAUUGCCUCCUGGCCUCUGAGUACCCGCCACCCCCACCACAGUCUCCACAUAGGCCUAGCCCAUGGAGCAUCCCUUCAGUUGCUUUGCUGCGAACACCUGCACCUUCUUCACUUGCUCUUCUGUCUCACCCUCCUCUGUACAUUUCCAGCCCCAUGCUAAUAGGCACCACCCUCAGGCUUCAGUCCUGUUUCCUCUCCAAAGCUUCUACAUGUGGGUUGUUAGGUGCUUCCUGGCCAUUUCUAACGGGAGAGUAAUGGGGUGCUAAUGAUGAGGGUUGGGGUAGGCUAAGGGCUAGAGUUGGGGGUCAAGGGUGGGAAGGCCGAGGGUUCAUUACAUACUGGACCCAGCAGGCUAGCACAGUUGGAUUCCAGAGCUGGGAAAUUCAUGUCUUGCAGUGCUGCUUGGAAGUUUGGUUGAGGGAAGGAGUGCCUACUCUUCAGUGAGUAGAAUGGGGACCUAGUUUUGCCUUUUCAUUUCUAUGGUCCUGUGUGCUCACACUCCCUUCCUUCACUUAGUAGGGCCAAUGUCCCCAAGUUUGUUACUAUCUGUGCCUUCCCUCCAUAGUUUCCUGAGACCCCAAGCACACUGAGUCUCUCCUCACUCAGCAGCCUCACCAUUUCCUUCCCACUGUCCUUGGACCCAGGCCUCUUAUAGUUACCCUGGCGUUGAGAAGGACUUGCUGCCAUCUCUCCGAGCCCACUGGUGAGCCCACUGAUGUUAAGGCCGCCUGCCUGAGUCUUGAUUGCAGACUUGAGCUCCUGAUUCUCCCGAAUGAGCCGCACAAGCUUCUUCAGUUCCUCAUUCUCCCGCACCAGCCUCUCUAUCUGAUGCCGAAGCCCCUCAUAAUUGGUGAGUAGAGACAUGCCCCAGGGCAGCAGGGAGGGUGCUGCCCACAGGAGGGCACUGCACCUGGAGGCUGCCCAGGGCCCCGGGCCUUGCCCGGGCUGGAAGAGGGUGCCAGAGUCUGCAAGGCUGGCCCAGCGGGCCCUGGGUAUUGUGAGGUCAGAGGUUGUGCUCUCCUCCUGUCCUCUACUCUAACAGGCUCAGCUUUCCGUGCUGCCAGGCCUGUGAACGGCCCUACCUUGACCUGGAAUGUCCUGACUCCUUCUUUUUGGCAGCUUCACUCUCAAGAUGCCUCCUCUGCAAAGCCUUCUUUCCCCCACUGCAAGCUAAUUGCUGCCUGCUGGGCUUCCCCAGCAGAUGUGUCCUGUAUCAUAGCACCUGCCCUGCUUCUGUGCUGUUAGCUCCUUAAUGCUAUAUUUACUGGCUUUAUGGUGUGAACAGGGAUUGUGCCACUCCUCUGGAGUCCCCAGCAUCCAGCAAAGGGCCCAGCUUAGUGUAGGUAGAUAACCAAUGAAUGUAAAAUGAAAACUCAUCACCUUGCCUUCCUGGGCAGAUGACCUUUCUUUAUGAUCUUGGGCAUGCCUGGAUUUAGCCCAUCAGCCUCUACCUGAGAAUGCUCUGCCUUGGAUGCCUGGACAUUGGCCCAUAGUUUCUUCUGUCCCCAGGUGCUCAGAACCCUUCUCUGGAUGCUGGCCUAGGGGCUCCCUCAUCCAAGUAACUGGCUCCCUACAGCUUGGUGUUUCCAUUUCUGGACUCUUAUCCCAAAUCCCUGGAGGUAAUUCCUCCACAUCUGACUCUCUGCUCCCCAGCUCCUUGAAUUUUCCUGACUUUAGUUGUUUAAGAACCCAAGACCCCUAAACGCAGUGCACAUGCCUGUAAUCCCAGAGGCUCAGGAGGCUGAGGCAGGAGGAUCAUGAGUUUAAAGCCAGCUUCAGCAAUUUAGUGAGGCCUUAAGCAACUCAGUGAGACUCUGUCGCUAAAUAAAAUACAAAAAAGGGCUGGGAUGUGACUCAGUGGUUAACAGCCCCUCAGUUCAAUUGGUGCUACCCAACCCCCCCAAAACAAAACAAAACAGAACAGUAUUACUUACCUGGUUUCAAGAACUCAGGACUCUGAGCCCUCCUUAUAGCUAUCCCUUCUCUUAGAACUAUCUACAGAGAGCUCCACGAAUCUGACCUUGGGAGUUGAGGGAGGGUGUGUCUUCAUGAUCUCCACUGGCUCUAUGGGUGUCUUUUGACAAACCUCUUCAUGGGGCAGGAAGAGGUACAGGCACAGGCCAGUGAGCAGGCUCCUGGAACGUCGUGGAAGUGAAGAAGCGGGAGAUGAAGCUGUGCUGCCAUCAGUGUGAGUUGAGCAUUCUACCUGAACCUCACAAUGGGGGGGGCCCUACCCCGUACUCUGAUACUCCUGAGUGUAAUUCCAGCUGAGUCUCUCUGACCCCAGGCAUUCUUUUCCUUCUUUCUAACUUGAUAGAGUAUCUCUGGUCAUGAAAAUUGGCUUCUCCUUAGGCUGAUACAGUUUAUAAUGGUUUCAUGAGUGUCAGUUUGGGUAGGCUGUGUGCUCAGGUGUUUAGUCAAAUGCUAGUUUAGACAUUUUAUAAAGGUGUUUUGCAGAUGUAAUUAACAUCUACAAAAUGUUAGCUUUAAGUAAAGGUUACUUUCAAUUGUAUGGGUGGACCUCGUCCAAUCAGUUGAAGGACUUAAAAGCAAAAGUUUUAAGCCCAGAAAUAAAGAGUUCUAUCUUGGGCUGGGGUUGUAGCUCAGUGGUGGAGCAAUUGCCUCGUGUGUGUGUGAGGUACUGGGUUCAAUCCUCAGCACCACAUUAAAAAAAACUAAAUAAAAACAAAUAAAGAUAUUGUGUCUAUCUACAACUAAAAAAAGAGUUCUAUCUUGAGAUGUUUCCAGUCUGCCCUACAGAUUUUGGACUUUCCAACCUCCACUAUUGCAUGGACC
rnacentral:lncRNA from 1 species